rnacentral:lncRNA from 1 species
GGACUUCUUUUCGGACGAUCUGUGAGAGCAAAGCAGACAAGAUGUAGGCAGGGGACUGAUAGUUCUGGUGGCGGAAUCCACCACUGGAAGAUUUCGAACAUAGAAUAGUUGAUGAAUUUAGGAUGAUAGAGUCCGUGCCCAGCGAUUGUGUGAUCUGUUGAUUCUAAACUAAGAUUGUCGGGUGUAUUCCAUUCUGCAACGAUUCAACUGAGCGCCAGUGAAAGGAUUUUCAUGACUUUUCCCAGUUAUUUUCGUUAUACUUAAUUCCUCAGUAUUAACCACUCUCUGGGACUUCGGAGGAGCCAUCUUCUGCCUGAUUGUGACACCUGCCCCGUGAUUCCUCCUUCUGUCCAUUCCAACCCAGCAGGUCCAGAGUUUUCACAGACAUAUACUUGCUAGACAUCAUUAAUGCAAGCAGCUCACCAUGCUCUGACCACUCAGUAUGAGGAGUAUAAAGUCCUUUCAUAUCUGCUAUCACCCAGAAAGACUGCAGUUAUUUCCCGUUAAUCUCUAUCAAGAGCAAACCUGUUUCCGAAGCACAUUCUCAACCUGGCUCCUUGCUCCUCAGGGUUAUUCUCUCGUUCUGGCUGAAAUGUCAUUGUCUUGCGGGUAGUCUUGAUGUCUUUUUGCACAAAUGUGAAUUUUCCCUUCCUGAGUAUCACGUAAUUUUGAUUGUAUUUCACCAGGUAUGUAUUUUACUUCAAAAUGAUCCAAACUUAUAUUUUAACCAAACACGGGGGAAUUUCAUUGCUGCCACAUCUAGCAGACGGCACAAAAUAGCACCUGGUUGGAGGAACUAAUUAGGGAUGUUUCUGCACAACGAAUCAGAAGAAUGAAAAGACGUGGAAACCUCUCCUGUCUGAAAUUCAAGCUCACACUCCUGUCCUCUGUUCCUUUCCUUAAAGCUCCACUGGAUGCGGGACUAUUUUUCAAAAUUAAAGUGACCAACACUGGAGAUAAAGUAGUUGGGAUUAAACCUGAAGGCUUAUUUCACCACACUAAAGGAAAGAAAGACCACUGUAUUGUGUCUUACGAAGGCCAUGGUAGGAGGAUGGAGUGUCUGCUGAUCUAUAUGAACAAGGAGCGGCUGGAAAACCAGAAACGUAACUUCUGGAAGUUGGAGCUAUCCAUCUGGCUUACUUACUGAGAACUGUAGGCACCCGCACUGCAAGCAUUAUUUAUAUACUAAGUAAUGCAUUUAAGAUUUAUGAGGAAUGAGAAGUCACACCACACCUAGAAGGGUGUGAACACGGAAUGCCUGCACUCAGGGAGAGAUCUGCGUCAGCUGUAUUUUUGAUCAAAAGUUGUUCCCAUAGUGACAACACUCUCCCCCUUAUCAGUAUUUCUUCUUGUUACUUGGUUACCAAAAUAUGAAAUGAAUACUGAAUGCAGGUCAUGAGCAUGAGAGCGAAUAUAAAGCUAACUAGUUAUCUAGGUCUAACUCUGUCAUGAUUUUUCUUUAUAUUUUUGGUGGUGGUUAAAUACAUAAAUAUAUUCAGUGGUCUAAGUAUAGAACCCAAUAUGAAGCCCACAGCCUCCAAAUGCCUAUUGUAACUUCCCAGAAGUUCACUGAGGUAUACAAACCUUAGGUCUAAUAAUUCUACUUCCUGAUGUAAAGAUGAUUGUCGCUUGCAAAACACGGAAAGUCUGAAUUCAUGGUGAAACUCUAGAGGUGAUGAAGAACAACAUAUAAGGAGUGUCCGGCCACACUUUCUGGUUUUAAACGUGCUUUAACAUCUACACUUCGUUCUGCAUGAGGAUCAUAACGAUCAUUUCUCGGCUUCCCUGGAGCAUUAUCAACACCGUUAGGGCUCCACCCACUCUAUGGAAGAAGAGACUGGGGUAAAAUGGAAGGUCCACACAGGAGCGACAGAAGCAUAGACACAAAGCCUUCUCAACACAUCCUUUCCUCUUUACCCCAACAAACCCACUCAGUUUUGCCUUUGUUCACUUCUUCCAGAUGUUUUUGCAUCUGUAGUAAUCUAUUCCCUGUUGCUAUGGGAAUAAUAUACCUGACAGAGGCGUCUUGAGGCAGAAAAAGGUUUAUUUUGGUUCAUGGUUCCAUGGAGCAGAGUCCAUCAUACCAAUGAAGGCAUACAUACAGCAGAAGCAUAAUAGCAAGGCAUACAGCAGAUGCAUAAUAGCAGCUUGUCAGAUUGCAUCAGCCAUAAGGAAGAAGCCUCAGUGAUAAACGUCCUCCACUAAAGAACCCUUCUGAAAGUUUCUAUAAUUUUCCCAAACUACCAACUGGAACCAAGUGUUCAAACCCAUAUGCCUCAGGAAGACAUCUCACAUUCAAAGCACAAUGAUGUUGAACAACCCAGUAUGUCUCCUUAUGUCACUAAAGCUGCCUUGAUGACGUCAGCUUGCUUCCUGUUCAGCGAACAAAAUGAAUAUUAUCUACUCUAGUCACGGCUCCAGCCUGGUGUUCUGCCUCUAAACUUCCUCAAGUUGUUCAAGUUUGGGUAUAUCUCUAAUUCAGCGUCCGUGAGAGUGCCAUGAAAUGCACACCACUAGGUGAUGUCAUACCUCAUUAUGCCUUUGCAUCCUAAACCACUGUCAGGAUAGCCAGUGCUGUUCUGUGUGCACGGAAGCCAUCUUAACACAGAAAGGAAACUGUAAAAGGUCUUCCCCUUACAUGUCCUCUUUUGCUUGCUAUCAUGGAAGUGAUAUUUUCUGAUCAUAACUCUCAAGGUCCACCUUAUCCUCAAACCUCUGCAUUGUUUGAGGAGUCACCAUAGAGUUUCUGGUUUUUACUUUAAACCUCACAUUCUCUUUAUGUAAUAUGCUGGAUAAUUUCACAGGCAUCAGGAAUUGAAUCCCCUUCUACCAAGUCUCAUGGGUGGCUGCCCUUCACUGGGCAAGCAUAGGUAUUCAUUAAAUAUUCAUCGAAAGAUUUUUUUUAUUAACUUGUUGUGGCUUUCCCCACACUUUGGAUCCAACUCAAAUACCAGUUAAUACAUAAUCCUUUUUUUA